AAACCUCAAAGCAUUAAGUAAAUGCUAGCUAUUAUUAUUUAUGUAUAUAUAUUGGCUGGCUCACCAGAAGAGGGGCUGUUUUUGUCUUUUGUUUUCCCUUUGUAUUCUCAACAGAUAGCAUAGUAUAGCGUGGUACAUGCUAAGUGUUCAAUAUUUUUUGAUUGAUUACUUGUUGGGUCACAUCUCUGGCCUGUGCAUCUGACAGAAUGGAAAAUAUUAUCAUCCACUACCUUCAUCAUUGAGAGGAUCCUGGUCUGCAGAGUAUGGGGCUAACCCUGGCGAGUAAAGCCAAUGUUCUAAUCCCCUCACAUCUCCUCUCUUCUUUUCCCUUAUAGCAUGAAUGUACAAGGUGAUUAUGAGCCCGCUGAUGCCACUGGUUUUAUCAACAUCAACUCCCUCAGGCUAAAGGAAUAUCAUCGUCUGCAGAGCAAGGUCACCGGCAAAUAGACUAGGCAGCCAUCAAUAGUGUGGAGCAGCUCUUAGUGGCGCUGCAGAUUUCCCCAAGUAACGGCACUGAAUAUCCUGGCAUUUUGUGAUUGUUACUUACUAUCCUGGGCUGCAGCUCAGCCAGGCUUUGUUUCGUGUUCCUAUAGCAAACAGAAGAGGUCUGCAAGGGGGUGGGGGAGGGUGGAGUAGAAAUAACAAUAAUAAUAAUAAAAAUAAUCAUAAAAGA